ACAAUCGCCACCGUUACAGGUGCCUGCGCCAAUUGGACAGGUGAAACGGGAAGUCGGUGCGAAUCAGUGGAUUCCAUCCCGACGCUGCCCCCGCAACGGUAAAUGGGAACGUUCAGAGCAUAAAUCUGGCGUUCAAGGCAAAAGGUGCCACGGGGAUUUACCCUGGAAGGCCCGCCGCAGUCAUCCACAAAAGGAUGCGCUGUUCCAUGAGCCCGGAGACCGGCCUGUAGUGCCCCCCGUUC
rnacentral:ncRNA from 2 species